rnacentral:pre_miRNA from 1 species
UAUUAAAAAUUUUAUCCAUUUCUACUAAAAAAUUAGAGUGGCUGAUAGAAUAACUAGACAAUUAGACAUGGUGCGUACCUCAUGCUAGAACACAUAGGCUAGUUUUUAAUAGAAAAAAUGGAUGAAAUUUAUAAUA